rnacentral:tRNA from 1 species
CCUUCGAUAGCUCAGUUGGUAGAGCGGUGGACUGUAGAAGUAUCCAAUAUUGACAUCCAUAGGUCGCUGGUUCAAAUCCGGCUCGAAGGA